rnacentral:rRNA from 1 species
GACGAACGCUGGCGGCGUGCUUAACACAUGCAAGUCGAACGGAAAGGCCCUGCUUUUGUGGGGUGCUCGAGUGGCGAACGGGUGAGUAACACGUGAGUAACCUGCCCUUGACUUUGGGAUAACUUCAGGAAACUGGGGCUAAUACCGGAUAGGAGCUCCUGCUGCAUGGUGGGGGUUGGAAAGUUUCGGCGGUUGGGGCUGGACUCGCGGCUUAUCCGCUUGUUGGUGGGGUAGUGGCUUACCAAGGCUUUGACGGGUAGCCGGCCUGAGAGGGUGACCGGCCACAUUGGGACUGAGAGACGGCCCAGACUCCUACGGGAGGCAGCAGUGGGGAAUAUUGCACAGUGGGCGGAAGCCUGAUGCAGCAACGCCGCGUGCGGGAUGACGGCCUUCGGGUUGUAAACCGCUUUCGCCUGUGACGAAGCGUGAGUGACGGUAAUGGGUAAAGAAGCACCGGCUAACUACGUG